rnacentral:rRNA from 1 species
GACGAACGCUGGCGGCGCGCCUAAUACAUGCAAGUCGAACGGUAAGGUCUGCAUUCCUUUGAGCAUCGCGCGUACUCGUGUGGCGAAUGGGAGAGUAACACUGCACUGAUCUACCCCCCAGUUAGGUAUAAUCCUGCGAGAUGGUCCGGAAUUCCCGCUACGACCUGAGGGUGAUGCCCCGGCGGGACUACGUCCCUCUACGUGCGGUUGGUUAGCUGGCGGACUAUCAGCUCGUUGGUGGGGUAAUGGCCUACCAAGGCGGCGACGGGUAGCCGGCCUGAGAGGGUGGACCGCCACAUUGGGACUGAGACACGGCCCAGACUCCUACGGGAGGCAGCAGUGGGGAAUAUUGGACAAUGGGCGGAAGCCUGACGCAGCGACGCCGCGUGGAGGAUGACGGCCUUCGGGGUGUUAACUCCUUUCGAGGGCGAGGAAGAAAGCUGGUUGGACGGGUAGUGACGGUAGUGGUAGAAGAAGCACCGGCUAACUACGUG